UUAAUCUCCCUAAGAC
rnacentral:tRNA from 1 species